rnacentral:lncRNA from 1 species
AAGUGAGCCGAAGAGUAGUAGUUACAGAUAUAGUCUUUGUUUACUACGUUGAAAGUGAAAGUACCUCCUGUGAUAUUUGCACCGUUUUGAAUUUUAAUGUCUGAUAUAGGAUUUUUGGAAAUGAUUGAGAUUUGAGAAGACUGUAGAGCUACUGUGUGGCUUCCAUUAUCUACGGAAUCGAAAACAUUCAUAGGGGUAAGUU